UACGGGGGGAGCAAGCGUUGUUCGGAUUUACUGGGCGUAAAGGGCGCGUAGGCGGUCAGCACAAGUCAAUUGUGAAAUCUCCGAGCUUAACUCGGAAAGGUCAACUGAAACUGUGCGACUAGAGUGCGGAAGGGGCAACUGGAAUUCUUGGUGUAGCGGUGAAAUGCGUAGAUAUCAAGUGGAACACCAGUGGCGAAGGCGAGUCUCUGAACAUUUCCUGACGCUGAGGCACGAAAGCCAGGGGAGCAAACGGG
rnacentral:rRNA from 1 species